rnacentral:rRNA from 1 species
AGAACGAACGCUGGCGGCAUGCCUAACACAUGCAAGUCGAACGCUCCUGGGGCUUCGGUCUCAGGGGAGUGGCGCACGGGUGAGUAGCGCGUGGGAACCUGUCCUGUUGUGGGGGAUAACCGAGGGAAACUUCGGCUAAUACCGCAUAAGCCGGUUGUCUUGAAAGAGAUGACCGGGAAAGAUUUAUCGCGACAGGAGGGGCCCGCGUCGGAUUAGCUAGUUGGUGGGUAACGGCCCACCAAGGCAGUGAUCCGUAGCUGGUCUGAGAGGAUGAUCAGCCACACUGGGACUGAGACACGGCCCAGACUCCUACGGGAGGCAGCAGUGGGGAAUAUUGGACAAUGGGCGCAAGCCUGAUCCAGCAAUGCCGCGUGAGUGAUGAAGGCCUUAGGGUUGUAAAGCUCUUUCGCCCGCGACGAUGAUGACGGUAGCGGGAGAAGAAGCCCCGGCUAACUUCGCGCCAGCAGCCGCGGU